GAUGAACGCUGGCGGCGUGCUUAACACAUGCAAGUCGAACGGAAAGGCCCUGCUUUUGUUGGGUUCUCGAGUGGCGAACGGGGGAGUAACACGUGAGUAACCUGCCCUUGACUUUGUGAGAACUUCAGAAAACUGGGGCUAAUACCGGAGAGGAGCUCCUGCAGCAUGUGGGGGGUUGGAAAGAUUCGGCGGUUGUGGAUGGUCUCGCUGCUUAUCAGCUUGUUGGUGUGGUAGUGGCUUACCAAGGCUUUGACGGGUAGCCGGCCUGGGAGGGUGACCGGCCACAUUGGGACUGAGAGACGGACCAGACUCCUACGGGAGGCAGCAGUGGGGAAUCUUGCACAAUGGGCGGAAGCGUGAUGCAGCAACGCCGCGUGCGGGAUGCCGGCCUUCGGGUUGUAAACAGCUUUGUCCUGUGAUGAAGCGUGAGUGACGGUAAUGGGUAAAGAAGCACCGGCUAACUACGUG
rnacentral:rRNA from 1 species